rnacentral:tRNA from 1 species
CGACGCCGCGGCGGGCGGGCGUGUGCGGGUCGUCGGCGCCGACCCGGCCGGCUCGGUCUACUCGGGCGGCGACGG